rnacentral:rRNA from 1 species
UACGUAGGGUGCGAGCGUUGUCCGGAUUUAUUGGGCGUAAAGGGCUCGUAGGCGGCCUGUCGCGUCGGGAGUGAAAGCCCACUGCUUAACGGUGGGUCUGCUUCCGGUACGGGCGGGCUGGAGUAUGGCAGGGGAGACUGGAAUUCCUGGUGUAGCGGUGGAAUGCGCAGAUAUCAGGAGGAACACCGGUGGCGAAGGCGGGUCUCUGGGCCAUUACUGACGCUGGAGGAGCGAAAGCGUGGGGAGCGAACAGG